rnacentral:rRNA from 1 species
CCUGUUUAACAAAAACAUGUCUUUUUGAGUUAUUUUUAAAGUCUGACCUGCCCACUGAGUAUUUUAAAUGGCCGCAGUAUACUAACUGUGCAAAGGUAGCAUAAUCAUUAGUCUUUUAAUUGAAGGCUGGUAUGAACGGUUGGACGAGGUAUAAGCUGUUUCAUAUAAAAUUAUAUUAGAAUUUUAUAUUUUAGUCAAAAAGCUAAAAUAUCAUUAAAAGACGAGAAGACCCUAUAAAUCUUUAUAUUUUGUUUUAUUUAAUUUUUUUGGGUUUAUUUUAUUUUUAUAAUAUUGAAUAUUUKGUUGGGGUGAUGUUAAAAUUUAAUGAACUUUUAAUUAUUUAAAAUCAUUAAUUUAUGAGUUAUUGAUCCAUUAGUAUUGAUUAUAAGAUUAAGUUACUUUAGGGAUAACAGCGUAAUUUUUUUGGAGAGUUCAUAUCGAUAAAAAAGUUUGCGACCUCSAUGUUGGAUUAAGAUAUAUUUUUAGGUGUAGCUGCUUAAAU